rnacentral:lncRNA from 1 species
GGCUGAGGCCAUGACUUCCAUGCCCUGGGUAAGAUGUCAGUGAUCGGACUGUGUGGCUGUGGGAUGUGGACAGGAACUGAGGGACAAUUUUUCUGGAGGCAGGUGCCUGACCCGUCAGCUGGUGUGUGUGGUGUGUGUGUUUGGUACGGAGACGCCCAAGAUGGAGGAGGUUGCAGGCUUGUGACAGGCCUUGUGAGAGACGGCUCAUUUUCUUGCAGAACUGCAGCUGCAGAUGAGAGCCAGACUUGCCCCUGCAGCGGUUCCAGCUUUCAUGGCACAAAUCCCAUUGAUCACUUGCAUGCUGGGUGAAGCUGAGGAAUCUGAUAUCGUUAACAGGCCACAUGCACAUAGCCCUGAAGUUUGGGGGAGUACUGAACAGCUCCCAUUGGAGGCUUUGCACCCCACAACUCAUGAUCACUUGAGAGCACUUCACAAAAUCCUGCUAUAACAAAACCAGCAGAGAAUGCCUAAAAUAAGCGUGGACAAUCCUCUGGGUACCAUAGAAACUACCAUUGUGAGGAAAAGUAUUCCUUUUUUUGGCUUUACCUUUUAAAAACCAAUACUUUGUUGGGGGAGUUGGGGAAUAGUGCAUUAUUUUGAUUGUCAUUUUGCUGCAACUUUUCUUUCUGUGUGGGAUUGGAUCUAUUCAGUUAUCUCUAAUGUCCUAAACUUGUGUAUUUUUUAUGAUGCUAUGAGAUUAAAUUUUAUAUUAGAACCUUUUUUUGUUGUGUCCCUUCCUGUCACUGGUCUUCAGGCAGUUGGAUGCUGUGAAUUUCACGGCUUUCCUGGCCAUGUGAGGCAAUGCAAGCUGUCUUGUUGGCAGCCCGUGUGGCCAUGAACUCUGUACCUUCCUGUUCUCUGCUGGGUUAUUGUGUUUCUAGUGUUAAAUAACAGGUGUGAGAAUGUCUCCAAGGAUGUGAUGCCAACCCUGGGAUGCUGGCGGAGGAGCUGCCAUUAACAGAAAUGUCUUAUUCUGCAUGCAGUGGAAAUGCUAACAGAGCCCUUCAAUACCACAGUAGCUGCAUCUCGUAGCAAAAAUCCGUUAAUAAGGGUGCAGGGAAACCUGCCAUCCAGACAGAUGGGGAUGACUCUAGGCUGCUGAAGUACUGCUUGUGUGCACUAAGUGUGUUUAUUAAUGGAAGGAUUCCCAGGCCAGACAGCUGUCCACAGCACGCUCCCACACCUACACUGAGAGGGACAUGUUAGAAUGAAUCCAGAGCACAUUUCAGCAUGAUAAAUAGCUUCUCAAAAAGAAACUGGGGGGUUUUGCUUCAGGUCAUCAAAAUCAUGGCUGGAUGGGGAAAUCUGU